ACCUCAGGCAGACGUCAAGAUACAGUGACCCAGAGUCACUAAGGUGCCCUAAACUUAGAGCUACAAAGGCAGAAAUUCUUCCAAUGAACUGUCUGCCUAUGUGCUACCCACCCAUGAGCUUCAUUUUCUAAAAUGUGGUGAAAACCAUUUGUUCGUGCAAAAUACAAGCACUUUACUGCCAUUCAACAGAAAGAUGGCAGAGUUCCAUUACUGAAGAUCAGUGCUGCCCCUCCAGCACUCCAUGCUGAGUUACCUGACUGCUAUACAGAACAAGCUGUGUAUUUUCCAUGUACAACAAAAUUGCACUAUCAAAUAGAUAUACAGGGAAGAGAAAUGAAAGAAAAUGAAAGAAAUUCAUUUAUCCAGAAUCAUACAAUACCACGCUGUUGUAAUAUAAAAAUUUGCAAUGAAAUGUUUGAGGGAGACAGUCAUGAGAGAAGUCUUUUGUAUAUGAUAUUCAAGCUUUUAGCUUACUGGGCAUAAUUUCACUGCCUGCAUAAAUCCCUUUUACCACUGCAUCUGUCCUGUAAACACGUCCGGACAGUGCCUUAGCUUAUUAACAGCAAGAUUCUUCCCUCCAGCAUAGAUGACGUGGUUAGAAACAUCUGCUUUUGAAGUUAUACAAUCCUAUAGAAAAAGUUCACAUGAUUCUUUGCAGUCAAGCUGUUUAACAGUAUUAAAGUAACUUAAUUUUCUUUGGCCCGCAUCCCUACCUAAGACUGUUCAUGUUUAAACAUUAUGAACUGCAAAUACCUCUGCUCACCUCAAUGACAAUUUGCACAAUUCGUUUUAUGAACUGUGAGAAAAGUAGGACCUCAUUUGGGAAAUUGUAUGGAGGCAUGGAAAAAGGAUGGAACUUGACAAACAUGGAAUAACCAGCAGGUGUGGGGGGAGAGGGGAGUAGGAUUUCAUCCUUAAGCUUGUCUGAAUGCAGAAGAGCAUACAACCUGAUACUUCUGUAAUAUUUUCACUGUGGAAAAAAAAAGGACAAGGGAGUAAAAGGAGCUCAUUAAAAGCAUGAUAAUGGUCUUCCAAUGCUGUUCGUGUUUCGUUCGUCCCAUCCCUGGAGGCACUGAAGGCCAGAUAGGAUGGGACCCUGGGCAGCUGAUCUGGGGGGUGGCAGCCCUGACAAUGGCACAGGGUUGGAAAUGGAUGGGCUUUAUGGUCCCUUCCAACCCAGACAGUUCUGUGAUUCUAUGAUUUAUAAGACUACUUCUCUUUAGGGUAAAAGUAUAUAAUAACUGAAUCUCAGAUUUUCAAUUACAUUAGGAAGAAAGGAUCAUAUAACUAUGACACCUAAAAAAUCCAGAGUUUGUUGCAACAAACAGCCACCAAACAGAUACCAACCAAAAGCUCCACAGAGACUGUACUACAGCUGAAAUUGAAUAAACCUAGACAAUCAAUUAAGAUGAUUGAGUAGAAACCAAAUUCAGUGAACUGUCUAAUUGAAGAGGGAAAGAAAGAAUUCACAUUGAACUUGAAUCUUACCCGGCAUCUUAUGAAUCCAUCCUGAUAAAGCCAGAUUUGAUCAUCUGAAUCUACAUCUUCUGCAGCCUGUAUUCUGAGAAGAUUCAAAUUGUCCAAGUUUCCAUCAGUUGACAUGAACUUUCCUGUUUCCUUGUUCCGAAGCCUGAAGUACACACGUUUCUGUAGUAAAAAAAUACAAUAAAAUAGAAAGUGCCAACAACAACAGAACUCUAACCACUCUAGUGCUCAACAUACCCUGCUCUGGCAAACUUCAGAGCAGUCACUACUUAGUGUUGAACCUGGUGCAUUUCUUUCUUUCAGAAAUCUUGCUUUUCUGUUUUAGAAUUGAAUUACAAAGUCCCUACCUGUGUAGGAUGAUUCAAGCUUUCAGAACCUGCCAUUCUGCAUGGAGACCUAGUAUUAGGCUUGCCUGUGCACUGGGAUCAGCACACAGUGGGAUGCUAAGAAUGCGGAAUUAGGAACAGCAGCAAAUUUCUGCUGCUGUGGAAGUGUAGAUGCUCCCAGUCUUCACAAAGGGUGCACUUGUGCAGUGCUGCUUAUUUUGCUGGCACCAAGUGUUACACUUCGCAUUCAUGCUGUGGCUUGUUUCACAUUCACACUUCUGUUUAGACAAGCUCUUGGCCAGGGCAGUCAAAAUCCAUUAUUCCUAGCUCUGCUUAAGGCUACACAAAGACAGCUCCAUGACAGUAAACAUUUGUUACCACUGCAAGUAAUCUGUGAGUAACAGAAAGUUGCUUCCUCAAUAAAAUACAGCUCAGCAAGAACUUCAAAGGCUCAGGGGAUUGCUGCAGCAUUUGGACCAAAUUACAAGGUCCCUAUUUGAGAGGACAAAACAAAAAGGACAAUAUGGGAAGUUUUACAUUAGAUUUCCAAAUUAUUUUUCUAUGUAUGUAGUAAGCAAGGAAGGAUUCUUCAUCCCCUCAGUCAGCACAGUAUCACUCCUAUUUGAAAUGAUCCCAUUUUGUGGACCAAUUUUUUUUGUUGUUGUUCCAAAAAUAAUGUAGAUAGUGCUGACAGUAUACCAGUGAGCAGUUUAGGAGCUAGUGAUAAGACUUAUCUAGAUAUUUAUAUCCAUUAGUUGUUAAAAUUGUUCACCAAUCUUUAUGUAUCGUCUUCGGUACUUUCAUUUAAAGUAUGCAAAUGAACAGUUUAGGCAGCAGUAACUCAAAACCACGUAGCAUAAUCAAAUAGCAUUUCUUACAGUGAAUCUGUAGAGCAAUUUCUUCACACAACUGUCAUCGCUGAAGCUUGUGACGUGCAGCAAGAUUUUAACAUUGCUUUCAGCUGUAUAAUACUGCCUCAUCCCAUAACUAAAUAAAUCAGUACUUCACAACCUCGCAUCAGCUACUCACCUGCAGCAAAGGUCUCAGAGAACCUAUCUGACAGCAGCCACUCAGUUUAUACCAAUCUGGAAUUUCAUUUGGUGACAGCAACAUCUGACGUCCCCUGUAAUUACUAUGUUCAUAAAUUAUCCAUCUAUGGGGGAAAAAUGAAAGAAAGAAAAAAAAUAAUGCUUUUGCUGCCAAAUUCUGCUUUAGAAUAAUAAUAAUAAAAACAAAAAACAAACAAAAAAACCGAAGAGAUUUAACAGAAACAUAUCCCAGAGAACAGCAGUGGUAAGUAUUUAAGCCAAUAGCCGAUAGCAUGGGGAUUCUUCCUAAUGGGUCUUCAAAAUAAUAAAAUCAUGUUAUUAUUUGGUCAACAGAAUAGGAGUAUGCUGGAUUUCACAUUUUGGAGUCAUUUCAAAAUUACAAGUUGAAUAAAUCAGUGAGCUAAGGAAAUCCCUUGACCCGUUUAUCCAGAUGGGGGAAAAAAAUAAUAAUUUUAUUGCCUUAAAUUUAGGGAGAAUCCUAUUUUUAAGUAUAAUCUGUCUUCAGAUAGCACUUGGACUCCUAAAGGAGCACAUACAUAUGUGCUACAUAAGCAGUGUGUGCUAGAUUGCCAAAGCAGUAGUGCUGUGUAUGUUAACUUGGACAGGCCUGAUGUAUGUGGGCAAGAUCUGCUAAGGAAACAGCGCAGCAGGCUCUGCAACAGAGCAAAAUGAUCUAGAAUAGUUUGGUAGAGGUUUUAUUUCAGAACAUCUUUCUUCUUUCCAAAUUACCUGAGAAUGGAAAGAAAAAAAAAAAGAAAAAAGCAAAAAAAAAAGAAAAAUAGCAUACAGAAAAAUGUGUAGCUUUCCCUAGAACCUGUCCAAACGUGCUUGCACAGUCACAUUCAGAGCAACCCGUCAAACCUGACAUCUGCAUCUUUACCAUUAGUCCAGAUAGAGGAACACAACUGGAUACUGAAAUAGGCUGCAACACAGCAAAAUCUGAUCAGUUUUCUCACACAGAUUGCCAUGGGCAAAUUUCCAGUACAUGAACACUCAGUAGAAACAUUUUCCUAUUACCUUUUUUUCCUCUGAUUUGUCAGUGGGCUUAAUAUAUCCAGAAGCAGCACACUCACCUUAACAUUGGAGCUUUCCCAUAGCCUAUUACACAUCCACCCCCAGACAUGGAAUUAAGAGAAUUAUAAAUGGAUCUCUCUUAGUCAUAGAAGAGAGAAGACAAAAAAAAAAAAACAACCAAAAACCAACCAAAAACAAAAAAACAAAAAACAAAACACCCUUCAAUGGGGCAGACAGUAUGGAGAAGGGUGCUAAAAAAAACAGAUAACCUCCAGUGGUCCUUCCAUCCUAAACCAUUCUGUGACCCUGACCAGGAACUAGCCCAGCAGCUGAUGCUGCUAUAAUGAAAUCAGAGUUUUCAUACCAUAAUCUAUAUCUUCCCAGUGAACAACCAAAAAAGAUUUGUAUGUUUAUUGGACAGAACAUGGAUGACUCCCGACUCCAUUAUCUGGAAUCAUAGUAACCAUGUUCUUGGCAAAGAAACAACCCAAUGUUUGACUUCAUUAUUUCUCCUUAUGGGGAGUGUAAAUCAACUCUAUUGUGGUUAUGGUGAGAGAUACAGAGAUCUCAGGAUAAUCAAAAAUAAAGAGCAUGCAUCUUCUGCACAGCUUUUCUCAUGACCUAUAUAUUUUAAACUUCAGUCCAGUGAGCUAAGGAUAUCCCUUGACCUGUUCCUCCAGAUGGGGAAAAUGGUUUGUACUUAAGACCAGGUAUUAAUUAUCCACUUGAGGGCAAUACUGAGCUAUCCAACAGCAUCUCUUGCACACAUGCUUGGGAAUUUACCUCUUCAAAAGAACACAUUUAAACGCAAAGGAACAGUAAAAAAGAAGUGCGAUUCUUCAAGGUAGAAAACCUUGAGGCAAGCAUCUUGGUGGUAAAAAUUAGCUCCAGGAAAAGCACAAGAAGAGAAAUUUAACAGAUCUGUUGAGAUAUUGAAAGUUUUUAAACAUCAGAGGCUAUUUUUUUUUUUUUAAACAAUCUUCUUAAGAAUAGGGAAUACAACAGCUGAAAAAUAGUUAAUGAAUUUAACUGAUAGAUCUAUAAUGAGUCUGACUCAAUUCCUGAAAUCAAAGAGGUUAUUACAAGUAAUAUGCUACCAAAAAAGGCCAUAUCACGAUCUCAUUAUAUCAGUGUCCAUAACACCAAGGUAAAAGAACAAAUACAAAGCUUAUCAAAAUAUUCUGAACUUAAGAUACAGGACACAGAUCACAAACUGUAUGAUUGGUUAUGAUCAGGACCUGAAGCAAAAGCACAGCAGUUAGAUUUAACAUUGCUAUGCAAGCUAGCUUCUGUAAUAUUAGCAGGAGAGUUGGGACCCACUUCCUAAUGAGCUUUGUUUAAAUACAUUUCAACUUCUUAGGAAAGUAAAGGGCACCUCUUUGUGAGUCAGUGAUAAUGUAGUGGAAUCAGGAUAAAAGUAAGUUUCUGUAAGUAUAAUGUGCAUUAAUACAAUAUAUGGCAUUCCAAUUUUAUUCUCCUUAGUUUCUACCACCUGUUUUUUGUUUUGUGUGUGUGUGUGUGUUUUUUUUCCCCUUCUGUUGAAUAAAUACAUAAUUCUAAAGAUGCAAGAAGCAAAUUUAAACUCACGUGCCACCAAGGACUUGAACUGAAGCUAUUCGAGGAUUAUAUCCCAGGAACUGGAGAUUUAAGACUUCUGUAGUGAAUUCUAUUUUUCUUCCUUGGAAACCCACCUUUUCAAAAAGAGCUAUGCAUGGCUCAGACAGCUCCUGCAAAAAGAAGAUGAACACUUUCAUAGGAAUUUAAAAGCCAAAAUGCUGACUGUGAACAUCAUUACUUCAUGCAACCCUUUUAUAUCAGCAUUUUCAGAUUGUUUCAACUCAAAGACCCUGAAAAAGGUUUUUGCUUUGCAAUAGGAUACUUGAAAGAAACAAAUGAAAAUGUCAUUAAAAGCCCUUAGAGAAAGCACACAGGGGGUCUUCUUGUAUGCAACAUCAUACUUCCUUAUCAUAAGGCACACAAAAAUCUGUGGACAAUUCUUGCAUAUCUUAAUUAUAUUUUAAAACACAUUCUAAUUAAUGCCACAUCCCUCUUCCGUUGCACUAACCCCCAUUCACUGUAGGAAUUUUCAUUUUCAGAUCUCAACACACAGAUAAUACUGGUUUCUACAGCUUUAAAUUAUGAUAGUCUUGUCAGCACUGCUUAUUCCUCACAGCUUUCAUUUUUUAGCUUCUGUAGUAGGCUAUGAUAGUAUCACCAGACAAGUGUCAAGAUUCAUACUUCUGAGGUAAAAGUCAUGACUCAGGCUAAAACUAACAUCUGAAUUUUCCAAAUGGCUCUGGGGAGAUGAUUCUUCAUUCCCUUUGUCAAAAUGUUUCUGGUUUGAAGGGUUCCUACCCACGCAGAAUCCCCUGCAUCACUGAAUCUACUUUAAAUACUUUCUGGAUAACGAGCCUUGGAUUCUUUACUGUGCGGCAGGUAGCUGUAGAGGAUUGGAAACAGUCUCUCACAAUUAUGACCCCUCCCUGGAAGCUGAGAGGUAAGAAGCCUCUGAAGAAGAAAGCACCAGCACAUAACAUGCAGACAGACACAGCUUAUUACCACGGUUUGAAGUGGGAUAAAUUGUAGGGCAAGAACAUUUUUCAGGAGCUUUAAGAACUUCAGGAAGCAAAGAACUGUCAUUUGGCUGUUUUAACACAGGAAUCUCUGUCUCAAAGAAUAAGUUUUUCGGGAGAAAAAUCCUACCCGUGUGAAAUAAGCCAAAGACCCAAGAGCUUGAUACUGUUAUGUACAGAAGAGCCUAUUUUAAUCCACGGUGACCGCCCACCAAGUUCAGCUAGAACAACUUCUCUUGUUUUUAAUGCCAUUUGUCUACAGGAUAGUCAAAGAGUUCAGAAGGCAGACAUACUUACUGCGAAUGUUUGUUUACAUUGUACCAGAGACAAUGCUCCAGAGACAUGAAAGAGGAUGACACAUUUUAGUUCUCCUUUGUCAACUGCUAUGUCACUAACAUGUUACCAAAAUUAUAGAGGACUGCAAUACAGUUGCCAGAUUCAAAGAGAAGAGUCAAUAAGGUACUCCUCCAUUUUUAGAAUGAGUACCACCUCUUUUGUAAAGUUGCAUUAAGUUCCUGGAUUCUUGACUACAUUUUGCCCGUAAUUACUUUGAUCUUAAGAGAUACCUGCAGUUUCCAUAAGUGAUCCAUCAUAAUGAUUGGUUACAGACUUGAACAAACUUGUUCCUGACCACUGAGGAGUUACAAAAUAUGUAGAUGUUGUUUAAGUUUGUAUCCAACACACAAAACAACAUUGCCUGAUUUUGCCAA